UACGUAGGGUGCAAGCGUUGUCCGGAAUUAUUGGGCGUAAAGAGCUCGUAGGCGGUCCGUCACGUCGGCUGUGAAAACCCGGGGCUCAACUCCGGGCCUGCAGUCGAUACGGGCGGACUAGAGUACUGCAGGGGAGACUGGAAUUCCUGGUGUAGCGGUGAAAUGCGCAGAUAUCAGGAGGAACACCGGUGGCGAAGGCGGGUCUCUGGGCAGUAAUUGACGCUGAGGAGCGAAAGCGUGGGGAGCGAACAGG
rnacentral:rRNA from 1 species